AGAGUUUGAUCCUGGCUCAGGAUGAACGCUGGCGGCGUGCUUAACACAUGCAAGUCGAACGAAGCACUUACGACAGAACUUUUCGGAGGGAAGAUGUUUGUGACUGAGUGGCGGACGGGUGGGUAACGCGUGGGUAACCUGCCUUGCAGAGGGGGACAACAGUUGGAAACGACUGCUAAUACCGCAUAAUAGAUCAAGACCGCAUGAUCAUGAUCUUAAAGAUUUAUCGCUGCAAGAUGGA
rnacentral:rRNA from 1 species